rnacentral:rRNA from 1 species
UACGUAGGGCGCAAGCGUUGUCCGGAAUUAUUGGGCGUAAAGAGCUCGUAGGCGGCUUGUCACGUCGGAUGUGAAAUCCCCGGGCUUAACCUGGGAACUGCGUUUCUAACUGGCAGGCUUGAGUGUGGCAGAGGGGGGUGGAAUUCCACGUGUAGCAGUGAAAUGCGUAGAGAUGUGGAGGAACACCGAUGGCGAAGGCAGCCCCCUGGGCUAACACUGACGCUCAUGCACGAAAGCGUGGGGAGCAAACAGG